rnacentral:rRNA from 1 species
CCUACGGGAGGCAGCAGUGGGGAAUAUUGCACAAUGGGGGAAACCCUGAUGCAGCGACGCCGCGUGAGUGAAGACGUAUUUCGGUGCGUAAAACUCUAUCAGCAGGGAGGAAAAUGACGGUACCUGACUAAGAAGUCCCGUCUAACUACGUGCCAGCAGCCGCUGUAAUACGUAGGGAGCAAGCGUUAUCCGGAUUUACUGGGUGUAAAGGGAGCGUAGACGGGAGCGGAAGUCUGGAGUGAAAUCCCAUGGCUUAACCAUGGAACUGCUUUGGAAACUGUGCAGCUAGAGUGUAGGCGCGGUAAGCGGAAUGCCUAGUGUAGCGGUGAAAUGCGUAGAGAUUAGGAGGAACACCAGUGGCGAAGGCGGCUUACGGGACUGUAACUGACGUUGAGGCUCGAAAGCGUGGGGAGCAAACAGGAUUAGAUACCCUAGUAGUC